GACGAACGCUGGCGGCGUGCUUAACACAUGCAAGUCGAACGGAAAGGCCCUGCUUUUGUGGGGUGCUCGAGUGGCGAACGGGUGAGUAACACGUGAGUAACCUGCCCUUGACUUUGGGAUAACUUCAGGAAACUGGGGCUAAUACCGGAUAGGAGCUCCUGCUGCAUGGUGGGGGUUGGAAAGUUUCGGCGGUUGGGGAUGGACUCGCGGCUUAUCAGCUUGUUGGUGGGGUAGUGGCUUACCAAGGCUUUGACGGGUAGCCGGCCUGAGAGGGUGACCGGCUACAUUGGGACUGAGAUACGGCCCAGACUCCUACGGGAGGCAGCAGUGGGGAAUAUUGCACAAUGGGCGGAAGCCUGAUGCAGCAACGCCGCGUGCGGGAUGACGGCCUUUGGGUUGUAAACCGCUUUCGCCUGUGACGAAGCGUGAGUGACGGUAAUGGGAAAAGAAGCACCGGCUAACUACGUG
rnacentral:rRNA from 1 species